GGUUGCGAUCAUACCAGCACUAAUGCACCGGAUCCCAUCAGAACUUCGCAGCUAAGCGUGCUUGGGCGAGAGUAGUACUAGGAUGGGUGACCCCCUGGGAAGUCCUCGUGUUGCAACCC
rnacentral:rRNA from 1 species